AACAAACGCUGGCGGCGUGUCUUAAGCAUGCAAGUUGAGCGGCAAGGAGGAGAGAUCCUCCCUAGAGCGGCGGACUGGUGAGUAACGCGUGGGUAAUCUAUCGUAGGCAUGGGGAUAGUCACUAGAAAUAGUGGGUAAUACCGAAUACGUUCCAUGAGGGGAGUAUUCAUGGAAGAAAGGGUGCUACGGCACUGGCCUUAGGUGAGCUCGCGUCCCAUUAGCUAGUUGGUGAGGUAAAGGCCCACCAAGGCGAUGAUGGGUAGCCGGCCUGAGAGGGUGUACGGCCACACUGGGACUGAGAUACGGCCCAGACUCCUACGGGAGGCAGCAGCUAAGAAUAUUCCGCAAUGGACGAAAGUCUGACGGAGCGACGCCGCGUGGAUGAAGAAGGCCGAAAGGUUGUAAAGUUCUUUUGCUAGGGGAGAAUAAGUGAGGGAGGAAUGCCUCAUGAUGACAAGGACUAGCGAAUAAGCCCCGGCAACUACGUGCCAGCACG
rnacentral:rRNA from 1 species